CAAGUUGAAAAUUGAAACCAUAUGAUCCCCUUUUUAAUCCGAGCAGGAUCUCAUUAUUUAUUUUCAAACUUUGUGUGACGGUAAAACAGUAUGACACAAUGUAAAAGUGCCUCAUCCAGAGUCAUACAAUGUUAGGAAAGGAAUAUCAAAUGUAAGCAAAGCCUGCCACUGGUUGAAAGUGUGGACAAACAAGGUCAAGCAAGCCAUCUGUGUCAAAGUACAGAGGCAAAGAAGGUGGGAAAUUCAAACUGAAAGGAAAUCCUCAUCUUCAAGGUCCAGUUUUGGAUAUCCAAGUCACAAGUUUUGUCCAUAAAUGUUACUACGGCAAAUAGCAUUGUGGUAUAGACACCUUUAACCUACAGCUGACUGAUGACGUCAUCUUAAAAAGGAAAGGUAAACAAAUCUCCUGGGCGGUCACUACUCCAGCGCUACUAAAGACUAUUGAGCAUUCAUUCCUCCAAAAUUUCAGUGAACAAUGUCGCCUAAGCUAGUUAGUCAUUACUGUUUAGUGGUUUUGGGCCGUCGUGAUCAAAACUCCAAAGAAUAAUCCUCAAUGGAAUCUAUGGAUUGAAGCUGUUCUGCGAUCACACUCAACGUUCAAGAGUUCUGGAAGGAUGGAUGAAUCGCAUCCACGGGAGUCUCUUACAAUCAGUGGACUCGGGCAAAUUUUAUUCAGAAGCCAUUGCAAUGGCCAACUCUUUCUAAAGUUGAUGUUCACCCACCCUUUUAGCCGUCCGCUUUUCCGGAUUGGCCGAGGAUAGGGAUCUCCUUCCCAAAUUCCAAUUUGAUUUCCAGAGCAGCCGCUCUACCACCUUGGAAGUUACUCUCCUCUAUGAAAUUGCCCAAUCUUUGUGGAUCUCUCCACAAGCACCAUCAACCCAACUUUCCUCCACCAAUCAUCUCAAAUCAUCAAUAGUCAAAGCUAGGGCCAGGAUCGAAAACAUUUCCAAUAGACUUCCCAUCAAGAAUCUUCCCUCUCUAAUAGUUCUUCAACUCUUCCGGACCUACAUCAAACCAAUUUUCCUCUACUGCCUUCCGCCCAAUCCGCCCUCAAAUCCGCUGAUGCCACCUUCACCAAAUUCCUCAAACGAUUUCUGUGCGUUCCCCAAUAUGCCAAAAAUGCAUGGAGGUAUUUUUACAGCCAAAAAUCGGGCUGGCCAGGUUAGUGUCCCAGUGUUGGGAACCUGACCUUUUCGGAGGUGAUGUCCGGACUCAAAUUGUCCUUCUCGGUCAAGGACGUAUUAACACCCUACUGUCCUUGGCCUGACAUCCCUUCGGAAUAUUGGCGGUUACGCACGUUUUUCCGGCUCCGGUCCAAAUGUCAUCAACCGCGGGAGCUGAAACAGGAUAUGUUCAAUCUGACCCACCCAAUCUUCUGCAGUAAUCAAGAUUUUCAUCGCUUGUCUCUACCCAACUGUUGAUGUACUGGCUGUGAUUCUCCUCUUCACUUUUUUCAUGUAGACUAAGCUCAAAGUAUGGAACCCUCCUAUUGGCCGUAUAGAGAAAGUGCAAAGAAGAAUCCCCAAGUGGCGCAAUUCUUAUCCGGACAGAAUAUCUUCACUCUCUUCAAACAUUAAAAGAGAGACGUAUUUUCUUCGACUUCCCUCUUAUGUUGAAGGUGUGCUUAAGACUGUUGACAAUAUCACUUCUUUGCGAUCACUUUUCUUAGCUCGUGAAGGAUCAUAUUUGAUGAAGACGCGCAAAUUAGAAAAUGGGCCUUUUUUGGAAUUAAAUGUCAAAUCUCGUACACGUUACCAUUCAUUUUUAUGCGUUCUGCUUGUAUAUGGAACACUUAUGCCUGAAACAUUCUUGACCAGUGAGUGCGUUUAAAAAACUUUUUUCCUAACAUGGUUCCAAAUUAUUAGUCCAUUAUUAAACCCCUUCUGUUAUCAUCAAUUCGAUGUUUGAGUAGUUCACACAAUAAACAAUUCUAGUCAUAAUUAGUGUGAUAUCUCAUUCUAGUCAGGGUUUUAUCGUUGUCACCAUUUAAUUCAAAUUUUCUGAUAUCGAUUUCUGCCUGCAAAUGCUCAUCUGCUUGUAUUCAUGUGGAAAGGUGUAUUAAACAAAUUCAGCAUUUCAA